GGUCAAGUGAAGAAGCGCAUACGGUGGAUGCCUUGGCAGUCAGAGGCGAUGAAAGACGUGGUAGCCUGCGAAAAGCUUCGGGGAGUCGGCAAACAGACUUUGAUCCGGAGAUCUCUGAAUGGGGGAACCCACCUAGGAUAACCUAGGUAUCUUGUACUGAAUCCAUAGGUACAAGAGGCGAACCAGGGGAACUGAAACAUCUAAGUACCCUGAGGAAAAGAAAUCAACCGAGAUUCCCUUAGUAGUGGCGAGCGAACGGGGAUUAGCCCUUAAGCUUCAUUGAUUUUAGCGGAACGCUCUGGAAAGUGCGGCCAUAGUGGGUGAUAGCCCCGUACGCGAAAGGAUCUUUGAAGUGAAAUCGAGUAGGACGGAGCACGAGAAACUUUGUCUGAACAUGGGGGGACCAUCCUCCAAGGCUAAAUACUACUGACUGACCGAUAGUGAACCAGUACCGUGAGGGAAAGGCGAAAAGAACCCCGGAGAGGGGAGUGAAAUAGAACCUGAAACCGUAUGCGUACAAGCAGUGGGAGCCUACUUGUUAGGUGACUGCGUACCUUUUGUAUAAUGGGUCAGCGACUUAUAUUCAGUGGCAAGCUUAACCGUAUAGGGUAGGCGUAGCGAAAGCGAGUCUUAAUAGGGCGUUUAGUCGCUGGGUAUAGACCCGAAACCGGGCGAUCUAUCCAUGAGCAGGUUGAAGGUUAGGUAACACUGACUGGAGGACCGAACCCACUCCCGUUGAAAAGGUAGGGGAUGACUUGUGGAUCGGAGUGAAAGGCUAAUCAAGCUCGGAGAUAGCUGGUUCUCCUCGAAAGCUAUUUAGGUAGCGCCUCAUGUAUCACUCUGGGGGGUAGAGCACUGUUUCGGCUAGGGGGUCAUCCCGACUUACCAAACCGAUGCAAACUCCGAAUACCCAGAAGUGCCGAGCAUGGGAGACACACGGCGGGUGCUAACGUCCGUCGUGAAAAGGGAAACAACCCAGACCGCCAGCUAAGGUCCCAAAGUUGUGGUUAAGUGGUAAACGAUGUGGGAAGGCUUAGACAGCUAGGAGGUUGGCUUAGAAGCAGCCAUCCUUUAAAGAAAGCGUAAUAGCUCACUAGUCGAGUCGGCCUGCGCGGAAGAUGUAACGGGGCUCAAACCACACACCGAAGCUGCGGGUGUCACGUAAGUGACGCGGUAGAGGAGCGUUCUGUAAGCCUGUGAAGGUGAGUUGAGAAGCUUGCUGGAGGUAUCAGAAGUGCGAAUGCUGACAUGAGUAACGACAAUGGGUGUGAAAAACACCCACGCCGAAAGACCAAGGGUUCCUGCGCAACGUUAAUCGACGCAGGGUUAGUCGGUUCCUAAGGCGAGGCUGAAAAGCGUAGUCGAUGGGAAACAGGUUAAUAUUCCUGUACUUCUGGUUACUGCGAUGGAGGGACGGAGAAGGCUAGGCCAGCUUGGCGUUGGUUGUCCAAGUUUAAGGUGGUAGGCUGAAAUCUUAGGUAAAUCCGGGGUUUCAAGGCCGAGAGCUGAUGACGAGUCGUCUUUUAGAUGACGAAGUGGUUGAUGCCAUGCUUCCAAGAAAAGCUUCUAAGCUUCAGGUAACCAGGAACCGUACCCCAAACCGACACAGGUGGUCGGGUAGAGAAUACCAAGGCGCUUGAGAGAACUCGGGUGAAGGAACUAGGCAAAAUGGCACCGUAACUUCGGGAGAAGGUGCGCCGGCUAGGGUGAAGGAUUUACUCCGUAAGCCCUGGCUGGUCGAAGAUACCAGGCCGCUGCGACUGUUUAUUAAAAACACAGCACUCUGCAAACACGAAAGUGGACGUAUAGGGUGUGACGCCUGCCCGGUGCCGGAAGGUUAAUUGAUGGGGUUAGCGCAAGCGAAGCUCUUGAUCGAAGCCCCGGUAAACGGCGGCCGUAACUAUAACGGUCCUAAGGUAGCGAAAUUCCUUGUCGGGUAAGUUCCGACCUGCACGAAUGGCGUAACGAUGGCGGCGCUGUCUCCACCCGAGACUCAGUGAAAUUGAAAUCGCUGUGAAGAUGCAGUGUAUCCGCGGCUAGACGGAAAGACCCCGUGAACCUUUACUGUAGCUUUGCACUGGACUUUGAGCCUGCUUGUGUAGGAUAGGUGGGAGGCUUUGAAGCGUGGACGCCAGUUCGCGUGGAGCCAUCCUUGAAAUACCACCCUGGCAUGCUUGAGGUUCUAACUCUGGUCCGUAAUCCGGAUCGAGGACAGUGUAUGGUGGGCAGUUUGACUGGGGCGGUCUCCUCCUAAAGAGUAACGGAGGAGUACGAAGGUGCGCUCAGACCGGUCGGAAAUCGGUCGCAGAGUAUAAAGGCAAAAGCGCGCUUGACUGCGAGACAGACACGUCGAGCAGGUACGAAAGUAGGUCUUAGUGAUCCGGUGGUUCUGUAUGGAAGGGCCAUCGCUCAACGGAUAAAAGGUACUCCGGGGAUAACAGGCUGAUACCGCCCAAGAGUUCAUAUCGACGGCGGUGUUUGGCACCUCGAUGUCGGCUCAUCACAUCCUGGGGCUGAAGCCGGUCCCAAGGGUAUGGCUGUUCGCCAUUUAAAGUGGUACGCGAGCUGGGUUUAGAACGUCGUGAGACAGUUCGGUCCCUAUCUGCCGUGGACGUUUGAGAUUUGAGAGGGGCUGCUCCUAGUACGAGAGGACCGGAGUGGACGAACCUCUGGUGUUCCGGUUGUCACGCCAGUGGCAUUGCCGGGUAGCUAUGUUCGGAAAAGAUAACCGCUGAAAGCAUCUAAGCGGGAAACUUGCCUCAAGAUGAGAUCUCACUGGGAACUUGAUUCCCCUGAAGGGCCGUCGAAGACUACGACGUUGAUAGGCUGGGUGUGUAAGCGUUGUGAGGCGUUGAGCUAACCAGUACUAAUUGCCCGUGAGGCUUGACCAU
rnacentral:rRNA from 1 species